rfam:Pristionchus pacificus strain PS312 contig10255, whole genome shotgun sequence.
UCUUCAUUUCACAUACUCUCUCACCACUCAACCGGUCGAGAGAGUGUGCGAAAUGAAGAGA